rnacentral:rRNA from 1 species
GAGUUUGAUCCUGGCUCAGAUUGAACGCUGGCGGCAUGCUUUACACAUGCAAGUCGAACGGUAACGCGGGGGCAACCCUGGCGACGAGUGGCGAACGGGUGAGUAAUACAUCGGAACGUGCCCGGGGGUGGGGGAUAACCUCGAGAAAUCGAGGCUAAUACCGCAUACGUCCUGAGGGAGAAAGCGGGGGACCGGUAACGGCCUCGCGCCCAUGGAGCGGCCGAUGUCCGAUUAGCUAGUAGGUAGGGUAAAGGCCUACCUAGGCGACGAUCGGUAGCUGGUCUGAGAGGAUGAUCAGCCACACUGGGACUGAGACACGGCCCAGACACCUACGGGUGGCAGC